UAAACCAUGAGAUUAUGAUGUCAGCCCAAGAGGCAGAUGCUUAACUGACUGACCACCCAGGUGCCCUAGUCCCUUUCUGAAGAACAUGAAGGAGCAACCAUUAAGUUAAAAAAAUGACAUUCAAAACUCUCAACAAUCUGACCAUAACUUUCGUCAUCUUCCUAAAUAAACUCUACACCCAGUAUGGGGCUGGAACUUAUGAUCCCAAGAUCAAGAGUCACAAGUUCUAACAAAGGAGCGAACCGGGCGCCCCUGUAAUUUUCUUUUAAUAAAGAGAAGAGAAUUGUGUUUUCAUGGAAUAAUCUAAUUAAUGUUUGAGUUGUAAAAUAAAAAUUUUUAAAUACA